rnacentral:lncRNA from 1 species
GAGAUGGAAGCCAGAAGGAUCCUGUCUCAGGCUCCUCCUCAGUUCCUGUGUCGAGGGCUCCGGUUGGGUCCUUAGGGGCAGAAGUGGUGGUCUUACCUGUGCUCACAGGUGCAGAGCUCCUGGGAGACCAGCUCUCUCCCAUUAGGAUUUGAGUAUAGAAAGCUGUGGCACUGGUUCAGCUCUGGGUGCAGAGGUAAACCAGAAGGAUGCUGUUCCUCGCUGUUCCUUGAUUACUGUGUCCUGAUGGCUUUCGGCGGGUCCCUCUUGGGCCAAGAAUUUGAGUAGAAGUGGUGGUCUCACCUGUGCUCACAGGUAUGUCAGCACUCUUAGAGGACCAGCUCUCUCUGAUGUAAUUUGGGUAUAGAGAGCUGAAGUACAGAUUCAGCUAUGAGUGUGAACAUAAUCCAGAAGAAUCCUGUCUCAGGCUGCUCCUUGGUUCUUGUGUGCUCCUUCUCUUUCAUUUCUCUUUACUCUAACUUUCUCUGCCCUCAUCUACUUCUCCUCUGCAUUCUCAAUGCUUUGGAGUUUGCUUUUAAUAUCUGGUGCUGCCUGGUUAAUAAAAGCUAGAGCUACUGCUGCUUUCACUUCCGGUGAUACUGGUUCCGUGUCAGAAUGUUUCUACCGAAGCAGAUCGGGGCCAACAAACCACAAGCUUUACUUUCCAAAAAUAUGAGCCAAAAUUAAGCCCUCCCAAGAUUUUUUUUGUUUAAUAAUUUCAUUGUUCAAAUGAGCUCUUAUAUCCUCAUCUGACACCCACUAGUGGAUAAGUUUAGUCCAUCCUAUCUCCAAAAAUUGUUUCCUAAAAUCAAUAUUAAACAACUAAACCGCAAAACUAAUUUAAAAAAUCCAAAGGAAAUAGCCAUGAAUAGCAAAGGUGUUAUAUGAAAACAGUACAAAACAAACAUUACUCAGCCCAAGUAGAAACAGCACCUCCUGGCUGACUCGGCAGUUGCCAAGUACAUUCUCAGAAACUACUGAAUUCAGGGCCCUGGGUGAUGAUGUCACAAACCUGAAUUUCCUCGACACUUAGUUUCUAUGACUUUUUCUGGAGAGAAGUGUCCUGGCCCGGCCAGUACAAAGUUGAACAAUACUCUGAGUAGGGAGUAGGGCUGAUUCUAGAGAAGACUGAAAAAUAUGCAAGCAACAGAUACUGUAAGGUCUGCAAGUCAUUACCACAGCAGCAG